UUGUGUAUAAUAGUUUCUUUGGAUGUAACGUGUUGGAGAUGCUGAUGAUAAAUGGUUUUCUUUACGAUCUGAUAGCGAUAUUGGUUUGUUAUUGAUCGAUUGGUAAAGGAGUAUUGGCAGAUAUUCUUGGAAUGAAUUGUGCUUUGGCAACGUGACAACUGACCCAGUUUAUUUAGUUUCGGGCUGUCUUUCCUAGAGCUGUCAUAUCUGGGCGGGUUACGAGUUAUCGAGAGAAUUUAAUUGUUUCGCGAACUGGAUGCCACCAAGUUUAUCGUCCGUGGGUUUAAACGGCUAAGUUAUCGUUCUGUAGUGCUAAGACGAAAUUCUUGCCGUAAGCUUCUUAAGACCAAAGAUGUACUUUUAUUCGUUAAAAAUGCUUACAAAUAUUACAUGAACCGACCAGAAAAUAAGAUUAUUCGAUAUUAUGCCAUUCAAGGAAGCACAAUUAUAUUUUAUUAUAUUUGUAGUCUACAUUUAUACAACAAUGUCGGUUUUCCUGCUGGUACUAACAAUGCCACUGGUAAUUCAUGCGAUUGUAUGCUCGAAUCGUCCUAAAGUUAAAAACUUUCUGGUUGAUUUCGAUUUUGGCGUGGACACGUACAUAGCAAUGUUCGUGGCUCCUCGUGAACUGCUGAAAUUGCUAUAAUUGUCCAUAUUAGCAGAGAUUUAUUUUAACGUUAUCAACCUUAGUAUAGAAGGAGUUGAAGUAAGUAUUUGCGCAUAUAAUUAAAUCAGAAGAUUUCCCUUUAAUUGCGACGCAUGAAUAUUUCAUUCAUUUUUUAGAUUGUCUCGAAUUUAACUAACACAGGAGAGGCGAUGCGAUUUGUAACAUUUAAAUUUGUUCAAUUUAUACGCAUAUUCGUUUUUUGGAUCCCUGGACAAAAACUAUUAAAUCAUAGCGAAGAAGCGUACAUCGCGGCAUGCGAGCUAGUGUGCUAUAUAUUCCCUAAAAAUUGCCAUAAGUUUUUACUAACAAGGACCAUGGUAUUCAGUAAAAUAACAGCCUUCAAACUGGCGGAUAUAAUAGUAAUAAUAGUAAUUUC